rnacentral:rRNA from 1 species
ACGAACGCUGGCGGCGUGGAUAAGACAUGCAAGUCGAACGAGAGAAUUGCUAGCUUGCUAAUAAUUCUCUAGUGGCGCACGGGUGAGUAACACGUGAGUAACCUGCCCCCGAGAGCGGGAUAGCCCUGGGAAACUGGGAUUAAUACCGCAUAGUAUCGAAAGAUUAAAGCAGCAAUGCGCUUGGGGAUGGGCUCGCGGCCUAUUAGUUAGUUGGUGGGGUAACGGCUCACCAAGGCGAUGACGGGUAGCCGGUCUGAGAGGAUGUCCGGCCACACUGGAACUGAGACACGGUCCAGACACCUACGGGUGGCAGCAGUCGAGAAUCAUUCACAAUGGGGGAAACCCUGAUGGUGCGACGCCGCGUGGGGGAAUGAAGGUCUUCGGAUUGUAAACCCCUGUCAUGUGGGAGCAAAUUAAAAAGAUAGUACCACAAGAGGAAGAGACGGCUAACUCUGUGCCAGCAGCCGCGGUAAUACAGAGGUCUCAAGCGUUGUUCGGAAUCACUGGGCGUAAAGCGUGCGUAGGCUGUUUCGUAAGUCGUGUGUGAAAGGCGCGGGCUCAACCCGCGGACGGCACAUGAUACUGCGAGACUAGAGUAAUGGAGGGGGAACCGGAAUUCUCGGUGUAGCAGUGAAAUGCGUAGAUAUCGAGAGGAACACUCGUGGCGAAGGCGGGUUCCUGGACAUUAACUGACGCUGAGGCACGAAGGCCAGGGGAGCGAAAGGGAUUAGAUACCCCUGUAGUCCUGGCAGUAAACGGUGCACGCUUGGUGUGCGGGGAAUCGACCCCCUGCGUGCCGGAGCUAACGCGUUAAGCGUGCCGCCUGGGGAGUACGGUCGCAAGAUUAAAACUCAAAGAAAUUGACGGGGACCCGCACAAGCGGUGGAGUAUGUGGCUUAAUUCGAUGCAACGCGAAGAACCUUACCUGGGCUUGACAUGUAAUGAACAACAUGUGAAAGCAUGCGACUCUUCGGAGGCGUUACACAGGUGCUGCAUGGCCGUCGUCAGCUCGUGUCGUGAGAUGUUUGGUUAAGUCCAGCAACGAGCGCAACCCCUGUUGCCAGUUACCAGCACGUGAAGGUGGGGACUCUGGCGAGACUGCCCAGAUCAACUGGGAGGAAGGUGGGGACGACGUCAGGUCAGUAUGGCCCUUAUGCCCAGGGCUGCACACGUACUACAAUGCCCAGUACAGAGGGGGCCGAAGCCGCGAGGCGGAGGAAAUCCUAAAAACUGGGCCCAGUUCGGACUGUAGGCUGCAACCCGCCUACACGAAGCCGGAAUCGCUAGUAAUGGCGCAUCAGCUACGGCGCCGUGAAUACGUUCCCGGGUCUUGUACACACCGCCCGUCACAUCAUGGAAGCCGGUCGCACCCGAAGUAUCUGAAGCCAACCGCAAGGAGGCAGGGUCCUAAGGUGAGACUGGUAACUGGGAUG